AGAGUUUGAUCCUGGCUCAGAGUGAACGCUGGCGGCAGGCUUAACACAUGCAAGUCGAGCGGGCAUAGCAAUAUGUCAGCGGCAGACGGGUGAGUAACGCGUGGGAACGUACCUUUUGGUUCGGAACAACACAGGGAAACUUGUGCUAAUACCGGAUAAGCCCUUACGGGGAAAGAUUUAUCGCCGAAAGAUCGGCCCGCGUCUGAUUAGCUAGUUGGUGAGGUAACGGCUCACCAAGGCGACGAUCAGUAGCUGGUCUGAGAGGAUGAUCAGCCACAUUGGGACUGAGACACGGCCCAAACUCCUACGGGAGGCAGCAGUGGGGAAUAUUGGACAAUGGGCGCAAGCCUGAUCCAGCCAUGCCGCGUGAGUGAUGAACGCCCUAUGGUUGUAAAGCUCUUUUGUGCAGGAAGAUAAUGACGGUACCGCAAGAAUAAGCC
rnacentral:rRNA from 1 species